UUUUAUGUAUGAGAUGUGUAGCAGGAGAUGCAAGAAAAAAUACUCCAGCAUCUGUCCUUUAAAGAUAACUUAUAACUUUUCUGGGUUUUGGGUUGUUGGUUUUGUCUUUUUUUUUUUUCCCAUUUAGGGAAGAGAUGGAAGUGAUUGCUUUCCCCACAAAGACCAUCAUCAAAGAGGGGAUGCUGACCAAACAGAACAAUUCAUUCCAGCGAUCAAAAAGGAGAUACUUUAAGCUUCGAGGGCGAACGCUUUACUAUGCCAAAACGGCAAAGGUGAGGCCCCAUGCAGGAAAGCACACGCGAGGACAUCACAGGAGCCGUCCCAGGGGAGGAACUGGGGGUGCUGAGUCCUUGUGUGGGAAAAGCUUCAAUUCUCAGAUCUGUUAUUGCCAGUGAGUUUUGUAACACUCCACGCUGUCAGGUUUUACUUGUCUCAAGGCAUGUUUUAUUUCUUAUCAAAAUUAAUUUCUGUUCAUUUUCCUUUUCUUUAAUGUCAUCGGUAAUGGGGAAAAGGAAAAAAGGGUCACAGAGACAGCCGCGUUACAGCUGGAUAUCUCUCUCUCAGAAAGGCGGAGGGAAUCACGGGGCUAUGAAUUUCAUCUUCUUAUUAUUAAAUAAUUUUUAUUCUUUAAGUAUAUUGAAGUUCUUUUUUUUUUUUUUUUUUUUUUUGAGAGGGAGUCUUGCUUUGUCGUCCAGGCUGGAGUGCAGUGGCGAGAUCUCGGCUCAUUACAACCUCCGCCUCCUGGGUUCAAGCAAUUCUCCUGCCUCAGCCUCCCAAGUAGCUGGGAUUACAGGUGCCUGCAACCACGCCUGGCUAAAAUUUUUAUAUUUGAGUAGAGAUGGGGUUUCACUAUGUAGGUCAAGCUGGUCUCGAACUCCUGACCUCAAAUG
rnacentral:lncRNA from 10 species